GGGCGAAUAGCUCAGCGGUAGAGCGCUUCCCUUACAAGGAAGAUGUCGGGGGUUCGAUCCCCUCUUCGCCCACCU
rnacentral:tRNA from 1 species